AAUACCUCUUUUUUUUUUUUUUUUAAUCAAAAUGCAGCCUCUUUUCUUCUAUUGUUUUUAUUUUCUUCUCUUCUUUCCCAUGCCCUUUCGAAACAAAACUAUGGCUUUCCCUUUCACUUCCCUUCCGAAAAACACCAUCCUGUUUGUCCAAAAACAAUCUCGUUCGCCGGUGUUUCUGAUAGAACUUCUUUUAUUCACUUGUUUUUGGUUUGUUUUCUUUAUUUUCCCUUUCCCUCUCCUUUUCACUUUCCCUUUUGAAAAAGCACCAUCCUAUUCAUCGGCAUCGUCCUCGGCCCAUCGUUGAGAACCCACAAUCCGUGUCCGUGCGGCUUCGUUUCAGCUUCGUCUAUGAUCAAAGAAACAAGUUCCUGGAAAAUCAAGAUUGGCCUGCAAAUUUCUAUAGAAGAACCCAAGUUUCGUUAGUCAAUUCAUUGAAGAAGAAAGUGAAGGAAUAACUCAAAGAGCAUUGGAGGGGCAAAUGAUGGAUCGAGCAAAAAAUUGAAGCACAAAAUUUGCGAUUGUAAAGUUACAAGUUGAGAAAAUUGCACACACACACACGUAGAGAUAGAGAGAGAGAGAGAGAGAGAGAGAGAGAGAGAGAUAAAGAGAUAGAUAAGCAUUUGUGACGGUUUGUCCUCCAUUAAUUUGUAUUUGUUUUGCAGAUAAAUGGAUUCAGAAUAUCAACCAACAUUCGUUCAAAGGUUUUGGGACUUAGAAAUAUUGAAGGCAAAGGUUAAUUGUAGAUCUAACUUCUAGAAAGCCGUGACGGAUAUUAAGUUCAAGCUUACUCCAGCCCAAAGAAAGAAGUUCCAAGAUAGUUGUUUUGGCCACUUUUUGAAGGCCAACGAGAUACAAUUUAGUGGCCACAUCGUCAACAGCAUGCUAUAUAGGCAGUGUGUUUGCAACGACAAGGAUGCUAUGAUUUAGGGUUUCGAGACAAUUCCUUCGUUAGGUCAAACAUUUGGAAAUAAGUUGCCGGACAUGGUAUUUACUCGAAUUCUCAAUUGGCACAUUUUACAAGUGCAAAGAUUUGAAAAGGCAUAUGAAAUCUUUGAUUAUCUUGAUUAUCCCGUUCAUGGCGUAAUGAAUGUAACUAAAUUUGAGCAUGCAUAUAUUGGUAAAAUUGCAUGGGAUGUACAUUAUGACACUACUCCAUACAGUGUUGCACCUGCUGUCAGAGACAAGCCACCACAGGAUAGUCAUGCUGAAAGAGAUGAAGGUGUUCCACUUACAAGUAGUGGAAGAAGUAAGAAACGAGAAUAGGCCUAUAUGGAAAAUAAGGUUAAAGGAGGGAGGCAGUGAAUAAAAGAUAAGCCGACAGACCAUCAUUCAUCAUCGACUGCGGAAGUUUCUGCUCAUGAUCAUGUUAACCCAUCGAUUCCAUCCCAAUCUCCAUAUCAUGAUGAUGUACCUUUGAGAGAGAGAUUAACUAUCCUUGAAGGUGAAAUGACUAAUGUACGGUAAGACUUUAAGGAGUUAAGAAUUGCCAUGCUUAGAGAGUUUGCAAAUUUGGAGACCAAGCUUGAUAAGUUGAUGAAGCACCAAGGAAUGGGAGUUCAUGUCAAUGAUGUCCAGGGUCAAUCUUCAAACCCUCAUUUAUGUGAGUUUGACAACUUGGGAGGUGCUGAUGAGUUUGGUUUGGGAGAUGGGAUGGAAGCAUACAUUGAAGGGGAUAAAAAGAAAGAAGAGUUGGAUCGCGAUGCGACCCCCAUUGAUAGAUAGUCACGUCCAUCGGUUGUAGGUGAUGCAGGAGUAAGUGUUGAGAUUAUAGAGAAAGUGUCUCCAUCAAAGUUUGCGGUUGGAAGAGGUGCAAGAAAGGUAGUAUCUGCUAAACAAAUUAUAGAUAUUAGGAGGCGGGAUAGGAAGGCGGCAGCAGCUAUUACUACUCCUUACAGUGUUGGAGGCUUAUGGAAAAAAUUACAGCACACUUUACUAGGUCCAUCUUCUGCUUUGAAGUUCAACCUAUAUAGACCGGUACCCACUCAAUUUGUAAAAAAUUUUGACCAAUUUAUGAAGUCUGGUCGGGCAGCAAAGGUCGAUAUGGACAUUUUGUCUGUGGGUAAAUAUUUUUUUUCAUUUGCUUAUAACCAAUGAAAAGUAGCUGAAUCACAAUAUGAAUAUUUUUCAAUCAAGAUUUUUAUUUUUUAAUUCGCUAAAUUUUAUACAUUAUUGUUAAACUGCAUGGAUGCAAUUUAAAAUUAAUUCGUAUUUCAAUGCAGCAUAUGGAUGUCAUGUCUUACUUAUUUUAUGUAUGUGCUAACCGAUUUUCUGAUGUUUUUUUAUCCUAGUUUCGAGGUGAUAGAUGGAGGAUUUUGAGUAAGUAAAAAAGUUUUAAAGGCAGUGUCCUAUAUUUGGUUAUUGUGAUUUUGGGUAACUAAUAAUUUAUUUUUUUGUAGGUAUACAUUAAGCAGUCUUAUGGGAAACUUAUUGUCAAUCUAUCUAAUUACCAAUUCUCAUAUACAAUGCAAGCAUAUAUAUUGGGGAUUUGAAUGAAAGAGUCGAAGCCAUGGAAAUGCAUAUGCUGAUCCAAAUGUGUAAUGUUAACUAUUUAUUUAUUUAUUUGUCUUCCUUUAUUUAUUGUUCUAACUAGAUUCUUGUAAUUUACUGACAGUUAUUGAUUCCACUAAACAAGCGAAACAUACAUUGGCUUCUAGGGCACGUGGACUUGAAAAAGCGUCAUAUGAUUAUAUAUGACUCAGAUAAGGCUGCCAACCGAAAGAGGGGAGAUCGUAUUUUAAGAAAUUAUGCAUUGUGUUACUUUAUUUAUUGCGAUCUGCAUGCUUUUAUAAGGAGCAGAUGAAUCUUGUAGACUCCGUUGAUGAGUUUACUUGUGAAUUGGCACAAAAUUUUCCUCAGCAAAGUAAUGGUGGUGACUAUGGCAUUUUUUUGCUCAAGUCCAUGGAGUUUUUACAUGCUAGAUUAUCACUGAGUUUCACACAAAAUGACAUAGAGUUCUUCAGGAGGAUGUAUGUUCAUGAGGCUUACAACAAAGAACUAAGCAUAUGAGUUGGGUGGUGAUGCAUUUUUCUUUACUUUUGUCAUGUUUAUAGAUGCAUAUUUUUUCUUAUUAAUCCCUUUUAAAUGUAAAGAUAAUGAUGGAUUAUGAUGUUCAUUUAACGAAAAUAAUGAUCUGUUUGAUGUAAGGAUAACUAAUUUACCUUAUAGAAAAUGUGCCAUGUUUAUUUAUUA